UCAGAGGUUCACCUGAGGUGGUACUGGUCGUGGGUGCUGUAGAGUUAACAGGUCAGCGACUCUCCGCCAACUGCGAGUGAUUGUCCUGAGCAUAUUCCAACAAAGUGUGCUCCCAGCAGUUCCAGGACUCCCUCCUCCUUCCUCUGCCAGGGCUCAUUAACGAUGGUUCAGGGUGUGCAUCCACACAGAUGGGGAAUGUGAAAUGUCUUCCUGAUCCUUAUUGGGACCCACUCAAUGAACAUCACACACAUCCCCCAUCACGCCAGUGAAGAGAAGCAGCAGCCUGGACCUCCCUUCCAUGCCUUGAGAAACAGGAGUAGAUAAGAGUGAAUCCAUGCCUGGCCUUCAGCAGCACCAAACCACUACUAUGGACCCUUUCUUCCUGAGGGCUACAUUCUCCUCAGUUGUCCUAUGGCCAAGGUGGCAGGACUAGGCUGGUAGCCAUCAGGAAAGAAGCCAGGUUCAGACAGGAUGAGGUUCAGAGGGUCACGGCUCCAUUUGAAUUGCUGAAACCCUGCAUAAGCUAAUUCAGCCUGCUGAGCAUCUACCAGACUUGGUUCUGUACAGAGACUGAAAGAAAAGACAGAUCAGUGAAAAGACAACAUAAAUCCCAUUUGUCUCUAUUUAAGGGUCAAGCUUGAUUUCAAAAUGGUGGCCAUAGGCAACAGCUCCAGGAACAAACCCUAAGUCCUAGGAAUUAGGCCAUAAGACACCAACUUCAGGAAGAAACCAUAAAAUCCAGAAACAAGGUCGUAAAAACCCCUCCCAAAGAACAGCCUGGGGAUAACCACAAAAAUGGGAAAAUAUCUUAUCGCAGGAUGGGCCAGCUGUGCUGGGCAGCCCUAUCUCCUCCUAUGGUUAAACAUCCAUGACAUAGGGUUGUAGACCACUGGCCACCUGUGAUUCUCUAACACCCA
rnacentral:lncRNA from 1 species